GGAAGAGACCACUAAUUGGAAGCAAGCUCACCUGUGAGGGAACAAGCAGGGGCUUACAGAAAGCCAAGACUGGCAGUUAUCCUCCUUGAGGAAAGGUGGGAGAGGACUUCUUGGAACUUAAGAGAAAAGGGUCUGACUAGGAAGUGGAAUUGGUUCAGGGGUAAGAACAGUAAGGUUAAGGAAGCUGCAGACUUUGAUUGUUUGGUAAAGGGCACUGGACUGAAUUGAACCCAGAGUAGAGGAUGGGUCUAGAUACCCCUUCUAACCACUGUAGGGUAGUAUUGUUUGGGGGCAGUGCAAGGGUGAUAGUGUUAGGGCAGUGGUCAUGAGGACUGCCUGAUGUCACUUGAACAGAAGAGACUUUGAAGGACUUUACCCUGGAAGGGGAAACCACUUAGUGACCUGGCUGGAGGGGUGAGUCACAAAGAGGGUGCUACAGCUCCUGGAGUAAGAGAGGGGCUGCAGCAUGAAUGAGAGAUUCUGGAAAUGAGGAAGACCACAUCCUGCACUUGCAAUCAGCCAGGCAGAGCUAAUGCCCAGAACCACCAGAAGGAGGUGCUGUCAAGUGGUGUACUAACCUCCUGCCUGAAUCUCCCAGAGAAAUGGGGCAACUUACCAGGAGUCAAACUGAUGGGAUGAUUAAAACUCUUUAAACAAACAGCACAAACCUUAACCCAAAAGACACUCAGCAAAUGAAUGGCAAAUGAGGACUCCCUUCUCUACCCCUAUGAGUGUGACUCCAGGCAGGGGACUGCUAACAUUAACCUCAUUCGUGUGGCUUUUUUCUUGGCAAGCUUUCUGUCCUGGUUUGGCUGGACAGCUUAUUUUUUACCCCCCAAUCUUUUGCAGUGCUGGGGCUCCACUUCUUGUGGCUGCUGAAGUUCCCAAUAUGGGAGAUUAUCAGUGAAUAAUAUUUUUAAACCAUAAAUCAAAGUGUUUAACUUCAGUUCCACUGGGACAUAGGGCACUUACAUUUCCAAUAAAAUGUUAGUAUUUUUUACUGGCUCUUAUGUGCCCACCAUUGUAACUGAGCUACUGAUUCUGUGGUGAGAGAGUGAAAUUGUAUGUAUAAUAUACACAUAGGCAUGAGGUCAUGUGUAUUAAUCAAAUAUGCAAAUUAGAGAACUACUUUCAGGCUCACUAGCUUUGUAAGGGUUGCAAGAGGUACUAAAGUGGAGCAAAUUUCAUGCAAGCAGUACUCAGCAUCUUUUCCUUGGUCACUGAAGUGUUUUUUUUUUUUUAAGUCUGUCAGUUUCAGUGAUGGUGAAAUUGUAUCCUGUACUAAAAUGAUUGCAAUUUCUUAAAGAUGACCUAAAGAGAGAGAUGCACUGGUGCUUCCUUUUAAUAUCUUAUGAUUUCCAGAGACUUCCUGAAGUAUGACUUGGGUUUUUCUUUUUUCUUAAGGUUUUUCUUUAAACUUCCGCUUUUAUUUCAGAAAUAUCAGGUAUAUUAAGUCUUGUCUUUCCUGUUCUUACUGGAGAAAUGAUUGGGAGUUUUCUCAGCUUUUAAUUGAAAAUACAUAUUGAAUCUUGAAGAGAUAUAUCUUCCAAUUUUUUUUUAAACUGAAUAAAAAAACCUUACCCUUUGAGUCAAGCCUUUGAUCUUGCAAAAACAUAUAGGCUUAACUUUACACACAUGAAUGGGGAAUUCAAUGUGACUAGAAAGUUAAAUUUAUGCUUACACUUUUUUUGCAGGCUUAGAGCCUUAGAAUAAUGAUGGAUUCUACAGACAACCUAGAAACAGAUUUAAUUUGCUAUCUGCCUGUAGGUUGCUCAGAUGUUAUAAACUUAAGUCCUCCAGUUGUCCAUUGAGUCUUCAGG